rnacentral:rRNA from 1 species
UGGGGAAUAUUGCACAAUGGGCGCAAGCCUGAUGCAGCCAUGCCGCGUGUAUGAAGAAGGCCUUCGGGUUGUAAAGUACUUUCAGUCGGGAGGAAGGUGGUAAGGUUAAUAACCUUAUCAAUUGACGUUACCGACAGAAGAAGCACCGGCUAACUCCGUGCCAGCAGCCGCGGUAAUACGGAGGGUGCAAGCGUUAAUCGGAAUUACUGGGCGUAAAGCGCACGCAGGCGGUCUGUCAAGUCGGAUGUGAAAUCCCCGGGCUUAACCUGGGAACUGCAUUCGAAACUGGCAGGCUAGAGUCUUGUAGAGGGGGGUAGAAUUCCAGGUGUAGCGGUGAAAUGCGUAGAGAUCUGGAGGAAUACCGGUGGCGAAGGCGGCCCCCUGGACGAAGACUGACGCUCAGGUGCGAAAGCGGGGGGAGCAAACAGG